UACGAAGGGGGCUAGCGUUGCUCGGAAUUACUGGGCGUAAAGAGCUCGUAGGCGGUUUGUCGCGUCUGCCGUGAAAAGUCCGGGGCUCAACUCCGGAUCUGCGGUGGGUACGGGCAGACUAGAGUGAUGUAGGGGAGACUGGAAUUCCUGGUGUAGCGGUGAAAUGCGCAGAUAUCAGGAGGAACACCGAUGGCGAAGGCAGG
rnacentral:rRNA from 1 species